ACAAUCAAUCGAGAAUUGACUUUAAUAAAUCCAUAUAUGUACAUAUUGUGAGAGCCGAACUUUUAUAGUAUUCCGACCGAAUUUUGUUGUGUAGUUAAAUUUAUAAAUAUGACGCAUUUUCUUCAUGAUUCCUUUCUUUUAGUACUGUUUAAAGUGAAUUCAUUCAUCAAAGAUGAUCAGUGGAUGGUGAUAAGUUUACAACAUUACUUAAAUUGUUUUCUAAUAGUAAGUGUACUUAGCUUGAUAAUUUUAUGUUACUGGAUAUUUUUUGUGCCUCUUAACUGGACAAAGCAUUUAGAUAGAAUUCCUGAUUGUCAAAUUUUAAAAACUGAAAAAAACAUCAGAAAUAUUAACAAAAAAAUGGCGAUAAACCGACUCAAAAAUAAUCGAUCAGCUAAAACUAAGGAUCUGCCACCUCCCUAUCCCAAUGGAUGGUAUGGAGUUCUGGAAUCUUCUAUGCUUAGUGCCGGAAAAUCAAUGUAUAUUUCAUGUUUGGGGCAGCAUUUCGCAGUCUACCGAACACAAGCGCAUAAAGUUUACGUUCUUGAUACUUAUUGCCCGCAUUUGGGAGCUAAUAUGGGUCUUAGCGGUCGAGUUGUUGGGGAUAACAUCGAGUGCCCUUUUCAUAAAUGGAGUUUUAGAGGUAUCGAUGGAAGAUGCACAAAUAUUCCUUACAGUUCGUGUGUUCCUUCAGCUAUUAAAGUAAAGAAAUGGAUAUCCACAGAAGUUAAUGAUCAUAUAUUUAUUUGGUAUAAUGUGGAAGAUUUGGAACAGCCAUGGACUAUUCCAAUUUCUGAUGAACUUCAAACGAAACAAUUUGUUUAUCAAGGUCGCAAUGAAUUUUAUGUAAACUGUCACAUUCAAGAAAUACCAGAGAAUGGUGCUGAUUUGGCUCAUUUUGCAGCAAUACAUAAAAAAAGCUUUAUGUCUGGAUGUAUUGAUGCUAAAGAAAAUUUCUUAACUAAUUUUGCGCGUCAUGAUUGGAAAGCAAGUCACUCUAGCCAGAAUUAUAUAUAAGUUUAUUUAUUUACUAAAUUAAUUGAUAAAAAAUCAGUUAUAAUAAAUUGGCCGGUUAUCGGGAAAAAAGUUAUUUAAUAGCAUCAAAAGCUGUUUACCAAUUUCUGGCAACCCUUCUAUAAUAUUUUUUAGGUCAAUAUAAAAGAAAAAAUUCCACACAGUUUUUUUUUAGCACCUUCAUCAAUUUCACUUUGAAAAUCUGACAGCGUUGACCUUGACUCAUCUUCAUCGAAUAAAUGACAGCACUUAAGCGCAAAAGUUGAUUGAAUCAUUCGGGUCAAAAUUUGUCUGUUGAAUGAGCUGUGGUACCGCGUAAUGAAAUUGACUAGUUUGGAUUCAUAUUUCGAAUAUGGCUGAAAGUUGGAUCUGAAGCAGUGGUUCUCCGUGGGAAAUACCUGCAUGGCGAUAAUUAGUUGGAGCUGCUCUCGACUGAGCUUGAAGUGAGCAGUUUCCGACACCCAUUCAUGAAACGGAACACGUAAAUACAAGUACGCAGUUCUCUGUGGAGGUCCCAGAACUUGCUGCGGGUACUCCGUUGCACGUAUUGCGCUGCUCAGGUAUAGUCUGCGGAAUUGGACACACUGAAAUGGGCUAUUGAAAGAGCUGAAUAGAAAGCCAAUGUGGUGUAUGCAACCACACGAAAUCAGCCGUCAGAACUGCACCCAAGCGAGGGAUUGAUAAUAGCUAGACUGGAGCUAUCCUAGUCUUUGUCAUGAGGAGAUCCCUGUUCCUUAAUUCCACCGAGGCCGCGAAUGUAUAUUAUAGCAGCAAAAUGUCACAGUUUAAGGAAAAGAAAAAGAAGUGCCCUGAAUGAAGGAUAUCAUUCAGGCUUUAUCCGGCCUUCAUCGAGUCUUUCACCCACGCGCAAGCAAGCGGAUUUUGGCACACUCAUUGAGACGGUGCCAGUGAGAAUGUCUCUUACCCAAAGAGUGUCCGCGGAAGAAUAUCCGCAUCGAUGAGAAUAUUGAUUUCACACCUUGUAAAAAAGUCUGCGGUACGAUGAAUGAAAGCAGAUUCUCUGCGGAAGGACGAAGGUUGAUGCCUCAAUAUGAAAUCUCGGUUUUGUUGUAAUACUAAUAAUUUUUGGUAUUAUUAAUAUUACUUUGGGCUAAAUAAGUCU